UACGUAGGUGACGAGCGUUAUCCGGAUUUACUGGGCGUAAAGCGCUUGUAGGUGGUUUCGUAAGUUGGGCGUGAAAUCUCUGGGCUUAACCCGGAGAGGCCGUUCAAUACUGCGAGGCUAGAGGAUGUCAGAGGAAGGUGGAAUUCCUGGUGUAGUAGUGAAAUGCGUAGAUAUCAGGAGGAACACCCGUGGCGAAGGCGACCUUCUGGGACGUACCUGACACUGAGAAGCGAAAGCCAGGGGAGCAAACAGG
rnacentral:misc_RNA from 1 species